rnacentral:tRNA from 1 species
AGUUCUAUAUUCAUAAAAAUGAUUUUAAAUUGCAAAUUUAAAGGUGAAAAAUUUUCUAGAACUU